ACAGGGUGACAGCCCCGUACACAAAAGCGCAUGUGCUGUGAGCUCGAUGAGUAGGGCGGGACACGUGGUAUCCUGUCUGAAUAUGGGGGGACCAUCCUCCAAGGCUAAAUACUCCUGACUGACCGAUAGUGAACCAGUACCGUGAGGGAAAGGCGAAAAGAACCCCGGCGAGGGGAGUGAAAAAGAACCUGAAACCGUGUACGUACAAGCAGUGGGAGCACAGGUUUACCUGUGUGACUGCGUACCUUUUGUAUAAUGGGUCAGCGACUUAUAUUCUGUAGCAAGGUUAACCGUAUAGGGGAGCCGGAGGGAAACCGAGUCUUAAUUGGGCGUUAAGUUGCAGGGUAUAGACCCGAAACCCGGUGAUCUAGCCAUGGGCAGGUUGAAGGUUGGGUAACACUAACUGGAGGACCGAACCGACUAAUGUUGAAAAAUUAGCGGAUGACCUGUGGCUGGGGGUGAAAGGCCAAUCAAACCGGGAGAUAGCUGGUUCUCCCCGAAAGCUAUUUAGGUAGCGCCUCGUGAAUUCAUCUCCGGGGGUAGAGCACUGUUUCGGCUAGGGGGCCAUCCCGGCUUACCAACCCGAUGCAAACUGCGAAUACCGGAGAAUGUUAUCACGGGAGACACACGGCGGGUGCUAACGUCCGUCGUGAAGAGGGAAACAACCCAGACCGCCAGCUAAGGUCCCAAAGUCAUGGUUAAGUGGGAAACGAUGUGGGAAGGCCCAGACAGCCAGGAUGUUGGCUUAGAAGCAGCCAUCAUUUAAAGAAAGCGUAAUAGCUCACUGGUCGAGUCGGCCUGCGCGGAAGAUGUAACGGGGCUAAACCAUGCACCGAAGCUGCGGCAGCGAACGUAUCACCCAAGACAACUUUACGGAGUUGACGAUUGACGGAGCGAAGCGACGUCAAAGCGUUCAUUAAAGUCGAGUUGGCUUAGGGAUACGUUCGUUGGGUAGGGGAGCGUUCUGUAAGCCUGUGAAGGUGUGUCGUGAGGCAUGCUGGAGGUAUCAGAAGUGCGAAUGCUGACAUAAGUAACGAUAAAGCGGGUGAAAAGCCCGCUCGCCGGAAGACCAAGGGUUCCUGUCCAACGUUAAUCGGGGCAGGGUGAGUCGACCCCUAAGGCGAGGCCGAAAGGCGUAGUCGAUGGGAAACGGGUUAAUAUUCCCGUACUUGGUGUUACUGCGAAGGGGGGACGGAGAAGGCUAUGUUGGCCGGGCGACGGUUGUCCCGGUUUAAGCGUGUAGGUGUGUGUUCCAGGUAAAUCCGGUUCACUUUAACACUGAGGCGUGACGACGAGGCACUACGGUGCUGAAGCAACAAAUGCCCUGCUUCCAGGAAAAGCCUCUAAGCAUCAGGUAACAUCAAAUCGUACCCCAAACCGACACAGGUGGUCAGGUAGAGAAUACCAAGGCGCUUGAGAGAACUCGGGUGAAGGAACUAGGCAAAAUGGUGCCGUAACUUCGGGAGAAGGCACGCUGACACGUAGGUGAAGUGAUUUACUCAUGGAGCUGAAGUCAGUCGAAGAUACCAGCUGGCUGCAACUGUUUAUUAAAAACACAGCACUGUGCAAACACGAAAGUGGACGUAUACGGUGUGACGCCUGCCCGGUGCCGGAAGGUUAAUUGAUGGGGUCAGCGCAAGCGAAGCUCCUGAUCGAAGCCCCGGUAAACGGCGGCCGUAACUAUAACGGUCCUAAGGUAGCGAAAUUCCUUGUCGGGUAAGUUCCGACCUGCACGAAUGGCGUAAUGAUGGCCAGGCUGUCUCCACCCGAGACUCAGUGAAAUUGAACUCGCUGUGAAGAUGCAGUGUACCCGCGGCAAGACGGAAAGACCCCGUGAACCUUUACUAUAGCUUGACACUGAACAUUGAGCCUUGAUGUGUAGGAUAGGUGGGAGGCUUUGAAGUGUGGACGCCAGUCUGCAUGGAGCCGACCUUGAAAUACCACCCUUUAAUGUUUGAUGUUCUAACGUGGACCCGUAAUCCGGGUUGCGGACAGUGUCUGGUGGGUAGUUUGACUGGGGCGGUCUCCUCCUAAAGAGUAACGGAGGAGCACGAAGGUUGGCUAAUCCUGGUCGGACAUCAGGAGGUUAGUGCAAUGGCAUAAGCCAGCUUGACUGCGAGCGUGACGGCGCGAGCAGGUGCGAAAGCAGGUCAUAGUGAUCCGGUGGUUCUGAAUGGAAGGGCCAUCGCUCAACGGAUAAAAGGUACUCCGGGGAUAACAGGCUGAUACCGCCCAAGAGUUCAUAUCGACGGCGGUGUUUGGCACCUCGAUGUCGGCUCAUCACAUCCUGGGGCUGAAGUAGGUCCCAAGGGUAUGGCUGUUCGCCAUUUAAAGUGGUACGCGAGCUGGGUUUAGAACGUCGUGAGACAGUUCGGUCCCUAUCUGCCGUGGGCGCUGGAGAACUGAGGGGGGCUGCUCCUAGUACGAGAGGACCGGAGUGGACGCAUCACUGGUGUUCGGGUUGUCAUGCCAAUGGCACUGCCCGGUAGCUAAAUGCGGAAGAGAUAAGUGCUGAAAGCAUCUAAGCACGAAACUUGCCCCGAGAUGAGUUCUCCCUGAGACUUAGAGUCUCCUGAAGGAACGUUGAAGACGACGACGUUGAUAGGCCGGGUGUGUAAGCGCAGCGAUGCGUUGAGCUAACCGGUACUAAUGAACCGUGAGGCUUAACCUUACAACGCCGAAG
rnacentral:rRNA from 1 species